rnacentral:rRNA from 2 species
GGAUGCGAUCAUACCAGCACUAAAGCACCGGAUCCCAUCAGAACUCCGAAGUUAAGCUUGCUUGAACGAGAGUAGUACCAGGAUGGGUGACCUCCUGGGAAGUCCUCGUGUUGCAUUCC